ACACAUGCAGUCGAGCGGAUGAAGGAGCUUGCUCCUGGAUUCAGCGGCGGACGGGUGAGUAAUGCCUAGGAAUCUGCCUGGUAGUGGGGGACAACGUUUCGAAAGGAACGCUAAUACCGCAUACGUCCUACGGGAGAAAGCAGGGGACCUUCGGGCCUUGCGCUAUCAGAUGAGCCUAGGUCGGAUUAGCUAGUUGGUGAGGUAAUGGCUCACCAAGGCGACGAUCCGUAACUGGUCUGAGAGGAUGAUCAGUCACACUGGAACUGAGACACGGUCCAGACUCCUACGGGAGGCAGCAGUGGGGAAUAUUGGACAAUGGGCGAAAGCCUGAUCCAGCCAUGCCGCGUGUGUGAAGAAGGUCUUCGGAUUGUAAAGCACUUUAAGUUGGGAGGAAGGGUUGUAGAUUAAUACUCUGCAAUUUUGACGUUACCGACAGAAUAAGCACCGGCUAACUCUGUGCCAGCAGCCGCGGUAAUACAGAGGGUGCAAGCGUUAAUCGGAAUUACUGGGCGUAAGGCGCGCGUAGGUGGUUUGUUAAGUUGGAUGUGAAAUCCCCGGGCUCAACCUGGGAACUGCAUCCAAAACUGGCAAGCUAGAGUAUGGUAGAGGGUGGUGGAAUUUCCUGUGUAGCGGUGAAAUGCGUAGAUAUAGGAAGGAACACCAGUGGCGAUGCGACCACCAGGACUGAUACUGACACUGAG
rnacentral:rRNA from 1 species